CCCGACCUUUCCCCGUGUUUUGGCCUCACUCGCACGCUAUCGCGAAUCACUUCCCGAUAGGUCACCCAUCCUUCCACUACUCCAGCUCAAGCACGCUUAACUCUGGAGUUCUUUCAGGAUGUGCUCCGGAAAAGGUAAGUCAACUUUGGUGACAUAGGUAGCCAAAUCAAUUCUCUUAAGCCUUUUUUCACAUAUCACAACUCGGGAUGUUACAAACUUGUUAGCUUGUUGAUUUAGGAAACACGGCAUUUAGAAAAUGAAAUGAAAUUGAGAAACCUCCUUUAAUAAUGCACAUGAUGUGCCAACUGCCAAUGCAUAUAUUUGUUGCUCUUUUCAAUUAUACUAAUAGCAUAUAUUAAAUUCCCUUUUUUACAACCGAAUUGACCUCCCAUUUGUUUAUAUGAUUGCACCUGAAAAAGCGUACAAGUCGGUGACCCUUUUUAAUUAUGCGAUUACUAUCAUAUCUUAACUGUAAUAACCUAAUGUUUAAACAAAUGAUAACUAUGUAGACUAAUUUCUUUUUGUGCCACUUUUUCUUCUAAUACCCUUUAGUAUUUUCUAAAAUAAAUCAAAUAAAUAGUUUUACAAAUAAAAAAAUGAGAAAUAGUAACUACUAAUGAAAAACCUAUAUCACUUAUUGGUAUUUUUUUCCAGUUCUAAAAGAAUGUUUAAAUCAUAAUUUUAUAUUAUGUUCUACAAAAAGUAGAAUUGACAUUCUACACAGUAGAAAAUGUAAUCUAUUUUUUUCAUUGAAUCUAAUAUGUUUAGAAAAUGUAAUCUAUUUUUUUCAUUGAAUCUAAUAUAUUUAGAAUAUAUAAACUACGUAAAUAAUAGUAAUCUAAAAAUAUUUAGAAAACACAUUCCGCGCUUAACUUAUCGUUCUAAAAUCUUUAGAAUCUGGAAUCUACGCAUUACUAUAAAUCUAAAACUUGUAGAAAUUGGAAUCUAUACAUUACUAUAAAUCUAAAACUAGUAGAAAUCAAUUUCAAACAUGUUCUUAUGUUCUACAUAUAGUAGAAUAUAUAUUAUAAGGAUAAGGAUAAUCAUUUUCAAAAAUAUGGGAAGAGAAUAUUUGGAAAUAUUCAGUUUCUUUAUAUUGAUUAAAUCGAUUUUUUUUUUUUUAAAAAGAAGAAAAUUGUGAUUUAUAAAAUCAAUUUUUAAAUUAAAAAAAUUAAAACAUCGAUUUGGAAACUUCUUCUUACGCCAUCUUUUUCUCCCCUUUGUCCUUCAAGGAAAAGAGUAAAAUGGGUUUGAUUGAUUAGAAAUCGAGUUUUAAGAGUUCAGCUUGUGUUUGUUUGGUUCAAAUCAAGUGGGAAUCAAACCAAAUUUAACCGAAAAACCAGGAAAUCGAUUUGGAAGACUUACAUGGGCAUGAGAUCGAUCGAUCCCAAAGACACUACCGAUCGAUCGAAGUGGGAUCGAGCUUUUGCGAUUGACUGACCUGGGCUUGGUCGAUCAGUAUAUGCUCUACAUAUUUUUGUUGUUCUGGAUAUAUUUAUCAAGAUCGACCGGUUGCUUACGGGAUCGAUCAAUCCCUUUGAAAAACAACAUUUUGAACUUCAGUUUUUUUUUGGACGAUUUUUAAUAUUUUUUGUAAUUAUUUUAGUUAAAAAUUAUAUUUUAAUAUUUAACAAUUGUUUUAUUAAUUUUAAUUUCGAGUUUUUAAUUGAAAUUAAGGAUAAUAUUGUCAUUUUAAAAAUAUUUAGACUAAUAGAACAUAAAGUAUAUGAGAUUAGCCUAAUAUGACAUAGUUAUCAUUUUUUUGGCCUAGAAAAACAAUUUUCCCAACAAAUUAAUGGGAGAAUUGAGAGUACAUUUCAAUGCUUAUUUGUCUUACAAUGUCCUCAUCACAUAGUCACAGAUCAAAUUACUAUACCAGUUUUCUUAAAACCUAUAAUCAAAAUUACAAUGCAUCACUUUAAAACCAAGUUCUUAUGUUGAUAUAACAUAUUUGAUGUAAACAACAACAAAAGGUUUUUUUUUUUUUUUUUAACAAUAACAAAAAGUUGAAAGCCAAUUUUCAAAAAAAAAAAAAACAAUAACAAAAAGCGUGAUCUGAAGGCCAACGCAAAGAUACGAGGAUGUUUGGACCAGACGCCACGUUCCGUACCGUUGGGUAUUUUGACUUUCUCCCAAUGGGCGGCUCUUAUAUUAUUAUCUUUUUUUUUCCCAACUAAUUUUAUUAAAAUAGGCCAAAGCCUAAGAAACAUAUCCAGUACAAAGCCUACACUGUUAAAACGAAAAGCUAAAAGCCCACAAAAAAUACUCAAUCGGAAAGAAAAUGGACCAGACCUAAACUUCUUCUACACCUUUCGAGCACACGUGUCUAGAUCUCAAAUCCAGAGGACACGCGUCACUCGAUCUCUUCAUCUUCUCAGACGCCGGCGACUUCAAUGGCGUUUCACCCGAUUCACCCCUGAACCAUCAUCAUUCAUCGAUUCCGGAACACACCAGAACCCAUGACCUCAUUCCAUCUUCACCGCAACCGCCUUGACUCAUGCGUAUUCUUUAUCGGAGAGAAUCAAAUCGCUGAAACGAGAUCUCAUCCGUCACCGUUCGAGCACACACCAUAGCAAAACAUCGCGCAGGCCAUAACCAUCUUUCACCGGAGAGCUUCUCUCGUCCUACGACGAGAGCUCAUCCACCAAAUCACAAACGACACCACCUGAACAAAAAUACGAAACCACACCCUAAAGCAGAUCUAGGGAACGAAAAGCCGAAGAGGCAAGGCAAGGAAACCUUCACCCCUCGGUAGCAAAGCCGGAGACGAUUGGAUCUAUAGAAGCCUCCACCUUCUCGGGGUCUUAGCCGGCGACGCGGAGCUGAGGAAGCCUCCAUCUCCCGGAAACUUAGUCGGCGACUACGGAGCUAUAAAAGCCUCCAUAUCCCGGAGCAAACGCUGAACUCAAAAGCUGGCUGUCACAUCGAGCCACCGUCCUACAUCCUCCCCGCGAGGCCAUAGAAAGAGGAGUUACCGCCGUUCAAAGCACACCACGAGCGGGACCUUUUCCGGAGCAAAACCCUAGCCCAGAUCCGCAAAUAUAUCGGAGAGAGACCACAGAUCGGAGCACACAGUUAAAAGAAUGAAACUGAAAUGAACAGAAGGGAGCCACCGGCGCUGGCACGCGCUCGGACGCGCCGCCGGACGCCGGGUCUGCCUUCACACGCUUUUCUCUCUCUCUCUUUUCUCUCAAUGUCUAGAAAUCUUAUAUUAUUAUCUUAUCUACUCGUUUAAUUAGAUAACUAAUUCGGUUAUUAUUAUAAUCUAAUAGUCUAUUUUGAGUCUGGAUCCGAAUCUUCAGACGUCAAUCCUGACGUUACCAUUUUUGAGUUUUGCAGUUGUUUGUUGCUCAGCUAGUCAGCUUUCAGGCAAUAUAUAUAUAUAUAUAUAUAUAUAUUUUUUUUGAACGAGCUUUCAGGCAUUGUUCAAUGUUCCCAAUUCACAAUUUAUUUGGAAGUCACUGCAAUAGACUUUGUCUUCACCUAGAGAUCUUUAAUAUAUAAUUUGUGAAAAUAGAGUCAAUAUUAGUUUCCAUUUUGUUUGUGGAUAAAUAAAGAGAUGACAAAAGUGGCUACGUCAAAGAGUUGAAGAAGUCUAAUGAAAUCAAAUGGAUCUUACAUUGGGUUUAAGGCCGAGAUUGUAAGAAGAACCCUCUUUUUAUUCAAAUCUAAAACCUCAAGUGCUCACCUUCCUCUGUUCUCACUUGUUACCUGCAGGAGAGUGGAGAUGAAUCAAUAAUCACCACAAAGCUCAAUCAUUAAUUAUAAAAACUUAUCACGAAUGUGUAUUUAUAGAUCUGUAUAUCACGUUUUAGUUAAGCGUGUUGUUCUUAAGUAUAUUUUUGGUCAUACAAAACCUUCGAGGACAAAGGGACGGAUUUCCCCCCAAGAUCCUCCAAUGAUGUUUGUGCAUUUGUAACUGAACCUAGAUCUCGAAUCUAGAAAUAUGAUUUUGUACGUGAUCAAAUCUGUAAAAAUAACAAAAUGUAUUAUGUUGGGCACUACUUUGGGUUAUGAAUAUUAUCGGAUUCUUACUCAAAUUUGAACAGAUACUGGAAAAACUUGAAAACUCCGUAAUUAAGUUGAACUAUGUGAUUUUCCCGUGCUCAUGCAUGGAUAGAAAUAUUUACAAAAUAAUUAUAUUAUAAAAUUAUUAAUAUUAUAUUUUUAGUUGAAUUAUUUUGUAAUUUAUAUGUAUAGUUUAUUUUAAAUAAUAUUAUAUUAUUUUAAUUAGAGAUCUAAUUUGGAUAUAGAAUAUCUAGUCUAUUUGGUUAUUACUUUGCUAUAUUGGAUUGUAUCUACUUUUCCAAAUUUAACCAUAAUUUUUUUUUGUGCUGAAAUAGAUUAAUUUUUUUUUUUUUUUUUUUUUUUUUGCAGUUAGACUUUUAAUUUUGGCCAUAAAAUUUUUGAUUCUUUAAGUAACUCAUUUUGUGGGUUAUAUUGAGUUACUCAUAUUUUUUCGAGCUGAAGCACAAUCACUUUUGAUUUUAGUUAAACUAUUUGUGUAAUUUUAUUUGUUGCAUUAGUUCAAUUCUUCUUCUAAAAUAUACAUAUAUAGUUUUGUACAAUUCUUUUGUACAAUUUGAUAUUUGUGGAUUUGUAAAGAGGAAAUUUCAUAUCUACCACUAUCAUGGUACCAUUUUUUAUUUUUACCACCAUUAAAAAUACAUUAUCAAAAUUAUCAUUUUCACUAAGUGACAAAAGACUCUGGAGAAAUUUCAUGUUUUUCACUUUUAUGGUACCAUUUUUCAUCUUUACAUCCACUAAAGGGACAUUUAAAAAAAAUGUCUUUUACAUUAAGUGGCAAAAGACUAUUAUACUCUUGUUCUAUAUAUAUAUAUAAUAAAUCAUUAUUUAAAUAAAUAAUUUUUUUUUUAUGUUUUUGAAUUGAACUUUUUCAAAUUCGAACUUUUUUUUUUAAAUUUGUUUUCUUGAUUUUUUUUUUCAAAUUUUCUUUUUGUAGAUCAAAAAUUAUGUUUGAAAAUAUUUUUUUAAAUAUUUUUUUAAGUAUUUAUUUAUAUAUUUAGAAUCCUAAAUUUCAUAUUCCAAAAACACUACCCCACCCUCAACUCUAAACCCUAAGUCUAGAUUAGUUAACCCUAGGGGUAUAAGUGUCUUUUACCUUUCAUUAAAAGUGAUUAGUGUAGACAUGAAAAUUAGUAGUAUGAAUAUGAUAUUUGUGGCAAUUUCCCAAAGACUCUUAUACAAUUGUUCUAUAUAUAUAUAAUACAUUAUUAUUUAAACAAAAAAUAAAAAUAAAAUUGUUUUAUAUAUAUUUGUGGCAAUUUUUUAUGGUUAAAAUUAUAUUUUUAUGGUUUUGAAUUAUACUUUUUCAAAUUCGAAAUUUUUUAUAAUCUUUUUUAUUUUUUUUUCAAAAUUUCUUUUGUAUAGGGCCAAAUUGUAUAAAAUUGUUUUUUGGAAGUAGUACAUUGUCUACUUAUCAAAAAGUACAAUAUUCCUAACUAACUUAUAUUUUCUAACGUAGGAUUGAAUUCUAAAAAAUAUCAAAAAAUUGUAAAUAAGAAAAAUACUUUAAAUAAGAAAAUUGCAUGUAUGUUUUAUUAAGAUGACCCACUUAUAUAACCAACAUGAGGAUAUUUUAUUUUAUCUUUAUAUAAAACAAGUACUAGAGCUUUUUUCCGCGCUUCGCGCGGAUUAUAUAUUUUUAUCUGUUAUAAUGUAUUUUUUUGCCAAAAAAUAUAAUUGACCUUCUGAAUAUAAUAUAGAAUUUGAAUAUAUUUACAUGUGACAGAUACAAUUUUAAAUGUAAAUCUAUUGUUUAGAAAAGAUAAAUUACAUUGUUUUACCAUUUUUUAAUUGUUUGGCCAUUUUCAAAAAUAGUAUUAUUUGUUUUUACAAUUAAAAUAAACUUAAGAUAUGAUUUUACUGAUAUAUACAAUAUUAUAUAAUAUAUUAUAAAAUACAUAUUAGUUUUAGGUUUCGAACAGAACUCAGGAAAAAAAUGGACUACAAACUCAGAAAUAUGAAUGUUUUCUGUUUACCCAAAGCGAUAAAGUCUUAGUCAUAAUUGAUAUAUUAGCAGUAUACUCAACUAAUAACAUCACACAACGAAUAAUUGUAGUAAUAAAAUAUAUUUUUCUAAUAAAAGUAGACUCAGUUUCAUCGAUGUUUUUAGUAUUAUUUCAAAAGAAUCUAAAAUGUAUGAAAUUGAAUAAUUUGGUAUUAAAUGUUAAUGACUGACGACAAAAAAAAAUGUUAGAGACUGUUAAUUGAAAGAAGAUUAUAAAAAGAGUGGAGAGAAAUAAUAUUAUUUAAUUAAAUGUAUUACAAAAAAAAGAGUGGAGAGAAUAACAUCUAUAUAUAUAAAAUAUUGUUUGCCUCUCUCCUGUGCCUCCACGUCGGAUCCAGCCUGGAAAGUCGAUCAUCUACAGCUUGACACGUCAGAUCCGUUUUGUUACCGAUUCAGCGAAGUGGAUUUUCGAUUGUUCAUGUUUAGUAUGGGCUUUCUGUUUUGGCCCAACAAACAUAAACCGUCUCUGACCUAAUGUUCUAUUUUUUUUUUUUUUUUGAAUGAGUCUGACCUAAUGUUCUUCGGACAAGAGAACGAGAGAGGCGUCCCACAUCCUUCGACGGCGAGAUUCUGACGUUUCCGCUUUCCCUCGCCAAAUGUAACGCUCUGAGUUAAAAUUUCGUGAUUAAUCCACUCAAAUCGCUCCCCCGCAAUGUGUAUUCAAAGCAAUCUUCAAGCUCAGAGGCGGUGUGAUCUAUGUAUAAAUAGGGGGUUUUUUUCUCCGAUCUGAAGUCCAGCAAGUGUACCUCCGUCGUCGAGGCUAGGCUCCUGCAGUUCUGGGAGGCCAGGCACGUUAAACGCGGUGGGGAGCUCAUGUGGGUCGAAAUGCUUCCGGUGGAUAUUAACGUAAGUCUGUUCUUCCUAUUUUUUUUUUUUUUUUUGUAAUUCAACAAUAUUCUGACGAGUUUCGUCGAGCAGAUUAUGUUAUUGUUUCACUUGAGAGAAACUUAUUUGUCUUUGGAGAGUUUAAGGAUUCUCAGAAUCUUUGCAAUUUUAAUACAGUUUUUGAUGAUGAUAUGUAAAGCCAUAACGGUGAAGGCUUCAAUUGCUUUAUCUGACUUCUGAUUUCAAAAUAAAAUAUGAUUGUCGGUUUUUCAUGAUAUAAAUGGGUAUAUUUUCCAAGGUAUUUGACAUUUAAGAAGGGUCAUCAGCUACAUUUUGUGAUGCAGCAAUUUGUUCACGUCCUUACACUGCAUGUUCUUUUUUUCUUUGUUAUGGCUGCAAUAAGAAUCUUGAGCCGUUGAAUGACAUCUACUACCUAAGCACAUGUUUGUCUCGACCUUUCUAUUGGUUAUAACACAAUUUCUUUUGUGCAAGGUUGCUAAUUGCCGUCCUAAUAUUCUUUGCUUAUGGCCAUCAGAUCGUGGAUAUGAUAAACGGUUUGGUCAAACUCCAGGGAGGUUGUCUGUAAAGAAACAAAUGAAGCUAAAUUGUUGAGAGCAGAAAUUAGUUGUGGCUGUAACCAGCAUUGAUGAAUGUGUGUUGUUAACUCUUACGAUUGAAAACAUGUAGCCCUUUUUUAAAUAAGAAUGGAUGUGUAUGGUUCUA